rnacentral:misc_RNA from 1 species
UCUCCGUUGGUGAACCAGCGGAGGGAUCAUUACCGAGUUUACAACUCCCAAACCCAAUGUGAACCAUACCAAACUGUUGCCUCGGCGGGGUCACGCCCCGGGUGCGUCGCAGCCCCGUAACCAGGCGCCCGCCGGAGGGACCAACCAAACUCUUUCUGUAGUCCCCUCGCGGACGUUAUUUUUACAGCUCUGAGCAAAAAUUCAAAAUGAAUCAAAACUUUCAACAACGGAUCUCUUGGUUCUG